UGGGGAAUUUUGGACAAUGGGCGAAAGCCUGAUCCAGCCAUGCCGCGUGAGUGAAGAAGUCCUUCGGGUUGUAAAGCUCUUUUAGUCGGAAAGAAAGAGUUGCAAUGAAUAAUUGUGAUUUAUGACGGUACCGACAGAAAAAGCACCGGCUAACUACGUGCCAGCAGCCGCGGUAAUACGUAGGGUCCUAGCGUUAAUCGGAAUUACUGGGCGUAAAGGGUGCGCAGGCGGUUUUGCAAGUCAGAUGUGAAAGCCCCGGGCUUAACCUGGGAAUUGCGUUUGAAACUACAAGGCUAGAGUGCAGCAGAGGGGAGUGGAAUUCCAUGUGUAGCAGUGAAAUGCGUAGAGAUGUGGAAGAACACCGAUGGCGAAGGCAGCUCCCUGGGUUGACACUGACGCUCAUGCACGAAAGCGUGGGGAGCAAACA
rnacentral:rRNA from 1 species